rnacentral:rRNA from 1 species
UACGUAGGGUGCAAGCAUUGUCCGGAAUUAUUGGGCGUAAAGAGCUCGUAGGCGGUCUGUCGCGUCGGUCGUGAAAACUUGGGGCUUAACCCUGAGCUUGCGGUCGAUACGGGCAUGACUGGAGUUCGGCAGGGGAGACUGGAAUUCCUGGUGUAGCGGUGAAAUGCGCAGAUAUCAGGAGGAACACCGAUGGCGAAGGCAGGUCUCUGGGCAUUAACUGACGCUGAGGAGCGAAAGCAUGGGGAGCGAACAGG